rnacentral:tRNA from 1 species
GGAGAGGUGCGAGAGUGGUUGAAUCGGGCGGUCUCGAAAACCGUUGUGCGCUAUUCGCGUACCGUGGGUUCGAAUCCCACCCUCUCCG